rnacentral:rRNA from 1 species
GCUUGGGCUUGAGGGCAGGGGAGGGUGGUGGAAUUCCGGGUGUAGUGGUGAAAUGCGUACAUAUCCGGAGGAACACCAGUGGCGAAAGCGGCCACCUGGUCUGCACCUGACGCUCAAACACGAAAGCUAGGGGAGCGAACGGGAUUAGAAACCCCGGUAGUCCUAGCCAUAAACGAUGUUGACUAGGUGUCAGCGGUCUAAACCCCGUUGGUGCCGGAGCCAACGCACUAAGUCAACCGCCUGGGGACUACGGCCGCAAGGUUAAAACUCAAAGGAAUUGACGGGGGCCC